AAAAAGUUUGAUUCUUACUUAUAAAUUUAUUAAUUAAAUUUUUUACAUGCAUCUUGGGGAGGGUGACAGUAUUUAAUUUUAUACAACUAAAAAGGUAUAGUAAUUUUUAUAGCUUUGGACAAAUUCGUGCCAGCAUCCGCGGUUAGACGUAAAAAGCAAAUAAAUUUUUGCGGUCAAAUUAAAUUUUGUGUUUAAUUUCUUGAAAAGAAGACUUAGGUGAAAUUAAUUUCUUUUUUUGUGUUUUAAAAAUUUAUAUGUUUAGAACCUAAAACCAGGAUUAGAUACCCUGUUAUUCUAUUUUGCGGAAAGUCCUAAGUAGUAGUAUACAUAUUUGAAACUUAAAGAAUUUGGCGGUGGCUUAUUCCUAUCAGAGGAACCUGCCCUUUAAAAGACAUUACACUAUACUCAAUCUUUUUUAAGGCUUAUAUAUCGUUGUCUUUAGAAUUAAUAUUGAAUGUUUUUUCGGGAUUUUUUAUAAAAAUUAAGUCAAGUCAAGGUGUAGUAUAAAAAAGUAGAGGUGGGUUACAUUAUUUUUAUAUUUAAAUUUUUGUAUAAAAUAAAAUGAAACUGGAUUUGAGAGUAAAUUUUUAUAAUUAAAAUUGAAUUUGGCCCUAAGUCAUGUACAUAUCGCCCGUCGCUCUGGUUAUUUAAAACGAGAUAAGUCGUAACAAAGUAGUUUUUCCGGAAGGAGAGGCUUGGGCGUG
rnacentral:rRNA from 1 species